rnacentral:rRNA from 1 species
CAGCCGCCGCGGUAAUACGGAGGGGGCUAGCGUUGUUCGGAAUUACUGGGCGUAAAGCGCACGUAGGCGGCUUGGUAAGUUAGAGGUGAAAGCCUGGAGCUCAACUCCAGAAUUGCCUUUAAGACUGCCGAGCUAGCAGGUGAGAGAGGUAAGUGGAAUUCCGAGUGUAGAGGUGAAAUUCGUAGAUAUUCGGAAGAACACCAGUGGCGGAGGCGGCUUACUGGCUCAUACUGGACGCUGAGGUGCGAAAGCGUGGGGAGCAAACAGGAUUAGAUACCCCAGUAGUCCCUGUCUCUUAUAC